rnacentral:lncRNA from 1 species
UGGCCACGAACUUGGAAUAACCCUUUGGGGUGAGAGUGCUAUUCGAUUUAAUGGAGAGAGUGUGCAUUUCAUGGGUCAAACAGACCCGGCUAUCGUUAUUUUUGUCGGCACCACCGUUUGUAUGUAUGAAGGUGACUAGGAAACAACCCGAUGAAUGUGCUUGCUUGUUUCCCGCUGCCUUCGAUUUAUUUAAUGGUAUUAUUAUUUGUCAUGAGCUAGGGUCCAAGGAAUUAUCUGGUGGAUGUGCUUGCAAAUGAUAUGUUAACCAUGAUAUACCAGAGAUAAACAUAUUUAGGAGCAGGUGAGGGCCACGGUCUAUUCAUACGGCGUUUGUUUUCUCUAUUUUGUACUCAAGUAUUGUAUUCUCUCUGCUUCUUAGGCUCCCAGUCAUCUUCCCUGCCAUUGAGCAUCUUCCUGCACCGUCGAAGAUUAUUCUCCAGGUCCAACAUGCCGAUGUGCAUCCAAUGGUGUUAUUGACCCACCUCAUAAACAUCAACUUAUAUCAAAAGGAGGUACCAUUGUAACACCAUGCAGUUUUGGCAGUCUUCCCAUAGUGCUUGCUAUUUAUAUCUUUACAGAUAGAUUGAUUAUGCACUACGAUGCUUGACUUCUCAGGCGGGAACCUUCCGAUGCAAUGUGGUGAUUACCAGGGUUUCACAUUUGAAAAAAUGGUGGGCUACCUUCUGUGCAGACUGCCAUCACAUGUCCAUGCCAGCUACAACAUCGCUUACCCAGCCAGAUGUUUAUAUGUGCUCUCGUCGAUCUUGUUCAUGCACUAGCGCUACAAUUGGAUGAGAACAAUUCAAUGUUAUAUCAAUCAAUGGUCAUUUGCUCUCCCUGCUCAUUUCAUCUAUGUUAAUGUUCAGGUACACAUUGUUUGUCCAUCUAUGUUAAUGUCCAUCUACAUUUGUUUCCUUCGGUGGAUCUCCAGCUCAGUUUCCCCUUUCCAGUCAGCGCCGCCUCUAGGGUUUCACCUUCUCACCCUCCUGGUGAGUUUCUUCUGCUUUCGAUCCGCUUGUCUAGGUCGAUGUCCUCGGACGAUGUAUCCAACUUGUUUGCUUCGUGGUCUUGCUUCUCUCUUCUGUUGUUGGUGUGUUCCUUACAUUAUUAGUUUUGUUAGGGAUUGCCUUGAAGAACUUUUGAUUUAUGUCGAUCUAGAGCAACAAUGUAUUGAUUCUUGUCUUGCUAUAGCAUCUGUGAUCUAAUUGCCGCCCUCUUGUUGUUGCUCUUGCUAGAUGUCUUGUCUGGCUCUGUCCGAUCUACGUGCUGGUUGGGACAAACAGACCGUGUGCGUCCGUGUGUCUCGCCUAUGGCAUUACCGUGGUGGUUUAGAGAAUGGACCUGUCAAGCUUCUGCACAUGAUCCUCAUCGACGCUCAUGUGCGAUCCAGGACUCUUUAGAAAUGUAUCGCUUUUGUUUUGUGUUAGUCUAUGUCUGAUGCAGCACGAAACUGUUAUAGGGUAACCAUGGCUAUGCAGUUGUUCCGACAGAUUUUCUUGUCACUUAUAUUGAUAUGCUGCAUGAAGGCGUGGUGUAUGAGUUCAGUUGUUUCAGCGUGAUGUCUUCAUCAUGAACCCGGUCGAUGCGUCGUUGAUGAUCCAAUUUACACAAUUUACAAUUGUGAAGAAUUUUUUCGAUCUGAACGACGUAUUUCCGGAGUGGGCAUUCAACCUGACCCCACUAAAUGAAUUACCCCUUGCAAAUGAUACUCCCCAAGCCUACAUAGGUGACACAGAUUACACUCCUUGUCUCUUCUUAUGAUCUAUGAUAUGAUGUUCGGUGGACACCUCUGUACACUAAAUUAUAGUUUGCGCAUUUACUUGUGUAGAUGUUAUCUGGGUUAUCACGGCGAUUUCUCCUGUGAAAGCCACUCGGGUGCCCAAUACUCUUAGACAAGUAUUCAGGCGCCGUCUGAUCCUCUCUGACAAUAAGUAUGUAAUCUGAUCUGUUAUAUUUGACCGUCGUUCUCUUUUUCCUGUUGUCCAUUUUAUUAAAAAAGCUUAUAUUGAAUCCUCUUCUGCCAUUUUAUUCUCAUCUUACAUUAGUGGCCACGAACUUGGAAUAACCCUUUGGGGUGAGAGUGCUAUUCGAUUUAAUGGAGAGAGUGUGCAUUUCAUGGGUCAAAUAGACCCGGCUAUCGUUAUCUUUGUCGGCACCACCGUUUGUAUGUAUGAAGGUGACUAGGAAACAACCCGAUGAAUGUGCUUGCUUGUUUCCCGCUGCCUUCGAUUUAUUUAAUGGUAUUAUUAUUUGUCAUGAGCUAGGGUCCAAGGAAUUAUCUGGUGGAUGUGCUUGCAAAUGAUAUGUUAACCAUGAUAUACCAGAGAUAAACAUAUUUAGGAGCAGGUGAGGGCCACGGUCUAUUCAUACGGCGUUUGUUUUCUCUAUUUUGUACUCAAGUAUUGUAUUCUCUCUGCUUCUUAGGCUCUCAGUCAUCUUCCCUGCCAUUGAGCAUCUUCCUGCACCGUCGAAGAUUAUUCUCCAGGUCCAACAUGCCGAUGUGCAUCCAAUGGUGUUAUUGACCCACCUCAUAAACAUCAACUUAUAUCAAAAGGAGGUACCAUUGUAACACCAUGCAGUUUUGGCAGUCUUCCCAUAGUGCUUGCUAUUUAUAUCUUUACAGAUAGAUUGAUUAUGCACUACGAUGCUUGACUUCUCAGGCGGGAACCUUCCGAUGCAAUGUGGUGAUUACCAGGGUUUCACAUUUGAAAAAAUGGUGGGCUACCUUCUGUGCAGACUGCCAUCACAUGUCCAUGCCAGCUACAACAUCGCUUACCCAGCCAGAUGUUUAUAUGUGCUCUCGUCGAUCUUGUUCAUGCACUAGCGCUACAAUUGGAUGAGAACAAUUCAAUGUUAUAUCAAUCAAUGGUCAUUUGCUCUCCCUGCUCAUUUCAUCUAUGUUAAUGUUCAGGUACACAUUGUUUGUCCAUCUAUGUUAAUGUCCAUCUACAUUUGUUUCCUUCGGUGGAUCUCCAGCUCAGUUUCCCCUUUCCAGUCAGCGCCGCCUCUAGGGUUUCACCUUCUCACCCUCCUGGUGAGUUUCUUCUGCUUUCGAUCCGCUUGUCUAGGUCGAUGUCCUCGGACGAUGUAUCCAACUUGUUUGCUUCGUGGUCUUGCUUCUCUCUUCUGUUGUUGGUGUGUUCCUUACAUUAUUAGUUUUGUUAGGGAUUGCCUUGAAGAACUUUUGAUUUAUGUCGAUCUAGAGCAACAAUGUAUUGAUUCUUGUCUUGCUAUAGCAUCUGUGAUCUAAUUGCCGCCCUCUUGUUGUUGCUCUUGCUAGAUGUCUUGUCUGGCUCUGUCCGAUCUACGUGCUGGUUGGGACAAACAGACCGUGUGCGUCCGUGUGUCUCGCCUAUGGCAUUACCGUGGUGGUUUAGAGAAUGGACCUGUCAAGCUUCUGCACAUGAUCCUCAUCGACGCUCAUGUGCGAUCCAGGACUCUUUAGAAAUGUAUCGCUUUUGUUUUGUGUUAGUCUAUGUCUGAUGCAGCACGAAACUGUUAUAGGGUAACCAUGGCUAUGCAGUUGUUCCGACAGAUUUUCUUGUCACUUAUAUUGAUAUGCUGCAUGAAGGCGUGGUGUAUGAGUUCAGUCGUUUCAGCGUGAUGUCUUCAUCAUGAACCCGGUCGAUGCGUCGUUGAUGAUCCAAUUUACACAAUUUACAAUUGUGAAGAAUUUUUUCGAUCUGAACGACGUAUUUCCGGAGUGGGCAUUCAACCUGACCCCACUAAAUGAAUUACCCCUUGCAAAUGAUACUCCCCAAGCCUACAUAGGUGACACAUAUUACACUCCUUGUCUCUUCUUAUGAUCUAUGAUAUGAUGUUCGGUGGACACCUCUGUACACUAAAUUAUAGUUUGCGCAUUUACUUGUGUAGAUGUUAUCUGGGUUAUCACGGCGAUUUCUCCUGUGAAAGCCACUCGGGUGCCCAAUACUCUUAGACAAGUAUUCAGGCGCCGUCUGAUCCUCUCUGACAAUAAGUAUGUAAUCUGAUCUGUUAUAUUUGACUGUCGUUCUCUUUUUCCUGUUGUCCAUUUUAUUAAAAAAGCUUAUAUUGAAUCCUCUUCUGCCAUUUUAUUCUCAUCUUACAUUAGUGGCCACGAACUUGGAAUAACCCUUUGGGGUGAGAGUGCUAUUCGAUUUAAUGGAGAGAGUGUGCAUUUCAUGGGUCAAACAGACCCGGCUAUCGUUAUCUUUGUCGGCACCACCGUUUGUAUGUAUGAAGGUGACUAGGAAACAACCCGAUGAAUGUGCUUGCUUGUUUCCCGCUGCCUUCGAUUUAUUUAAUGGUAUUAUUAUUUGUCAUGAGCUAGGGUCCAAGGAAUUAUCUGGUGGAUGUGCUUGCAAAUGAUAUGUUAACCAUGAUAUACCAGAGAUAAACAUAUUUAGGAGCAGGUGAGGGCCACGGUCUAUUCAUACGGCGUUUGUUUUCUCUAUUUUGUACUCAAGUAUUGUAUUCUCUCUGCUUCUUAGGCUCCCAGUCAUCUUCCCUGCCAUUGAGCAUCUUCCUGCACCGUCGAAGAUUAUUCUCCAGGUCCAACAUGCCGAUGUGCAUCCAAUGGUGUUAUUGACCCACCUCAUAAACAUCAACUUAUAUCAAAAGGAGGUACCAUUGUAACACCAUGCAGUUUUGGCAGUCUUCCCAUAGUGCUUGCUAUUUAUAUCUUUACAGAUAGAUUGAUUAUGCACUACGAUGCUUGACUUCUCAGGCGGGAACCUUCCGAUGCAAUGUGGUGAUUACCAGGGUUUCACAUUUGAAAAAAUGGUGGGCUACCUUCUGUGCAGACUGCCAUCACAUGUCCAUGCCAGCUACAACAUCGCUUACCCAGCCAGAUGUUUAUAUGUGCUCUCGUCGAUCUUGUUCAUGCACUAGCGCUACAAUUGGAUGAGAACAAUUCAAUGUUAUAUCAAUCAAUGGUCAUUUGCUCUCCCUGCUCAUUUCAUCUAUGUUAAUGUUCAGGUACACAUUGUUUGUCCAUCUAUGUUAAUGUCCAUCUACAUUUGUUUCCUUCGGUGGAUCUCCAGCUAAGUUUCCCCUUUCCAGUCAGCGCCGCCUCUAGGGUUUCACCUUCUCACCCUCCUGGUGAGUUUCUUCUGCUUUCGAUCCGCUUGUCUAGGUCGAUGUCCUCGGACGAUGUAUCCAACUUGUUUGCUUCGUGGUCUUGCUUCUCUCUUCUGUUGUUGGUGUGUUCCUUACAUUAUUAGUUUUGUUAGGGAUUGCCUUGAAGAACUUUUGAUUUAUGUCGAUCUAGAGCAACAAUGUAUUGAUUCUUGUCUUGCUAUAGCAUCUGUGAUCUAAUUGCCGCCCUCUUGUUGUUGCUCUUGCUAGAUGUCUUGUCUGGCUCUGUCCGAUCUACGUGCUGGUUGGGACAAACAGACAGUGUGCGUCCGUGUGUCUCGCCUAUGGCAUUACCGUGGUGGUUUAGAGAAUGGACCCGUCAAGCUUCUGCACAUGAUCCUCAUCGACGCUCAUGUGUGAUCCAGGACUCUUUAGAAAUGUAUCGCUUUUGUUUUGUGUUAGUCUAUGUCUGAUGCAGCACGAAACUGUUAUAGGGUAACCAUGGCUAUGCAGUUGUUCCGACAGAUUUUCUUGUCACUUAUAUUGAUAUGCUGCAUGAAGGCGUGGUGUAUGAGUUCAGUCGUUUCAGCGUGAUGUCUUCAUCAUGAACCCGGUCGAUGCGUCGUUGAUGAUCCAAUUUACACAAUUUACAAUUGUGAAGAAUUUUUUCGAUCUGAACGACGUAUUUCCGGAGUGGGCAUUCAACCUGACCCCACUAAAUGAAUUACCCCUUGCAAAUGAUACUCCCCAAGCCUACAUAGGUGACACAGAUUACACUCCUUGUCUCUUCUUAUGAUCUAUGAUAUGAUGUUCGGUGGACACCUCUGUACACUAAAUUAUAGUUUGCGCAUUUACUUGUGUAGAUGUUAUCUGGGUUAUCACGGCGAUUUCUCCUGUGAAAGCCACUCGGGUGCCCAAUACUCUUAGACAAGUAUUCAGGCGUCGUCUGAUCCUCUCUGACAAUAAGUAUGUAAUCUGAUCUGUUAUAUUUGACCGUCGUUCUCUUUUUCCUGUUGUCCAUUUUAUUAAAAAAGCUUAUAUUGAAUCCUCUUCUGCCAUUUUAUUCUCAUCUUACAUUAGUGGCCACGAACUUGGAAUAACCCUUUGGGGUGAGAGUGCUAUUCGAUUUAAUGGAGAGAGUGUGCAUUUCAUGGGUCAAACAGACCCGGCUAUCGUUAUCUUUGUCGGCACCACCGUUUGUAUGUAUGAAGGUGACUAGGAAACAACCCGAUGAAUGUGCUUGCUUGUUUCCCGCUGCCUUCGAUUUAUUUAAUGGUAUUAUUAUUUGUCAUGAGCUAGGGUCCAAGGAAUUAUCUGGUGGAUGUGCUUGCAAAUGAUAUGUUAACCAUGAUAUACCAGAGAUAAACAUAUUUAGGAGCAGGUGAGGGCCACGGUCUAUUCAUACGGCGUUUGUUUUCUCUAUUUUGUACUCAAGUAUUGUAUUCUCUCUGCUUCUUAGGCUCCCAGUCAUCUUCCCUGCCAUUGAGCAUCUUCCUGCACCGUCGAAGAUUAUUCUCCAGGUCCAACAUGCCGAUGUGCAUCCAAUGGUGUUAUUGACCCACCUCAUAAACAUCAACUUAUAUCAAAAGGAGGUACCAUUGUAACACCAUGCAGUUUUGGCAGUCUUCCCAUAGUGCUUGCUAUUUAUAUCUUUACAGAUAGAUUGAUUAUGCACUACGAUGCUUGACUUCUCAGGCGGGAACCUUCCGAUGCAAUGUGGUGAUUACCAGGGUUUCACAUUUGAAAAAAUGGUGGGCUACCUUCUGUGCAGACUGCCAUCACAUGUCCAUGCCAGCUACAACAUCGCUUACCCAGCCAGAUGUUUAUAUGUGCUCUCGUUGAUCUUGUUCAUGCACUAGCGCUACAAUUGGAUGAGAACAAUUCAAUGUUAUAUCAAUCAAUGGUCAUUUGCUCUCCCUGCUCAUUUCAUCUAUGUUAAUGUUCAGGUACACAUUGUUUGUCCUUGCGAAAGAUCGAAGUGGAGAGGCUGAAUUUGAAUUGUUUGGCACAAAGGCUCAACAAAUCAUCGAUCGAUCUGCUAGCCAGGUCCUUCGCAACAGCACUCACAUGGCCCUGCUAUUCCCAAUGUUCAUGUAGUGGCCUCAAUGCUAAGGAAAACCCCGCCUGAACUCAGUGGUCUCCUUUCCAUGAGAUGUAAGUUUGUUGUUCGUGCAUCGCCUGAAAGUUUCUUCGGAAGGUGGCCGAUGUUCCAUGUCGAUGCUAUUGAGUCCUUUGAGCCCGUCAAAUCGAACCUCUCUAUGAUAGAUUUGCUUACGCCAUCAUGAAGUGAUGCACGCAAGGAACUUCUUAUGAGAUCAGUGUGGAUGUUCCCUAGAGUUGAUUUUCGGUCUCCUGAGUGAUCUCUAGAUCUUUUGAUAAUGAACCUUUUUAUUAGUAGGAUUGUAAAUAUAUCGGUUCUGUAAACAGUAUUGUAUUAACUAUGACACUAUGGUCUUUUACCUUGGGACUAGGCUGCUGUUGAAAACAUGGUUAAAUAUAAUGUUCAUGUGCGUUUCCUUUCACUUAAAGAUCAGUCUAUUCACUUGACUGUAUG